rnacentral:RNase_P_RNA from 1 species
GGAGUCGGCCAGACAGUCGCUGUAUUGCGUGCGAUACAGAGGAAAGUCCGGGCUCCGCAGGACAGAGUGCCAGGUAACACCUGGGGGGCGUAAGCCUACGGCAAGUGCCACAGAAAAUAUACCGCCCGCACAGGUUCGACUUGCGUCGAUCUGGGCAGGUAAGGGUGAAAUGGUGUGGUAAGAGCGCACCGCGCUGUUGGUAACAACAGCGGCAGGGUAAACCCCACUCGGAGCAAGACCAAAUAGGGGAGUGUAAACGUGUGGUCCGCACGGCUCCCGGGUAGGUCGCUACAGGCGAACGGCGACGUUUGUCGCAGAUGAAUGGCUGUCCACGACAGAACCCGGCUUAUCGGCCGACUCCUAUU